rnacentral:rRNA from 1 species
AAUGAACGUUGGCGGCGUGGAUUAGGCAUGCAAGUCGUGCGACAAGCUUCCUUCGGGGAGGUGGAGGAGCGGCGAAAGGGAGAGUAAUGCGUGGAUACCUACCCCCAGGACCGGGACAAUGCCCGAAAGGCAGGUAAUACCGGAUAAUAUCUCAGGAUCAAAUGGUGAAAUUCCGCCUGAGGAGGGGUCCACGUCCUAUUAGCUUGUUGGUGGGGUAAAGGCCUACCAAGGCUGCGAUGGGUACCGGGCGUGAGAGCGUGAUCCGGCUCACUGGGACUGAGACACUGCCCAGACACCUUCGGGUGGCUGCAGUCGAGAAUCUUCGGCAAUGGGCGCAAGCCUGACCGAGCGACGCCGCGUGCGGGAUGAAGGCCUUCGGGUUGUAAACCGCUGUCAGAGGGGAUGAAAUGCAUAGGGGUACUCUCCUAUGUUUGACAUAGCCUCAAAGGAAGGACGGGCUAAGUUCGUG